rnacentral:rRNA from 1 species
CCUACGGGAGGCAGCAGUGGGGAAUCUUGCGCAAUGGGCGAAAGCCUGACGCAGCAACGCCGCGUGCGGGAUGAAGGCCUUCGGGCUGUAAACCGCUUUCAGCAGGAACGAAAAUGACGGUACCUGCAGAAGAAGGAGCGGCCAACUACGUGCCAGCAGCCGCGGUGACACGUAGGCUCCAAGCGUUGUCCGGAUUUAUUGGGCGUAAAGAGCUCGUAGGCGGUUGAGUAAGUCGGGUGUGAAAACUCUGGGCUUAACCCGGAGACGCCAUCCGAUACUGCUCUGACUAGAGUUCAGGAGGGGAGUGGGGAAUUCCUAGUGUAGCGGUGAAAUGCGCAGAUAUUAGGAGGAACACCGGUGGCGAAGGCGCCACUCUGGACUGAAACUGACGCUGAGGAGCGAAAGCAUGGGUAGCAAACAGGAUUAGAUACCCUGGUAGUCCAUGCCGUAAACGGUGGGCACUAGUUGUGGGGACUCUUCCACGGUCUCUGCGACGCGACUAACGCAUUAAGUGCCCCGCCUGGGGAGUACGGUCGCAAGACUAAAACUCAAAGGAAUUGACGG